rnacentral:rRNA from 1 species
GACGAACGCUGGCGGCGUGCUUAACACAUGCAAGUCGAACGGAAAGGCCCUGCUUUUGUGGGGUGCUCGAGUGGCGAACGGGUGAGUAACACGUGAGUAACCUGCCCUUGACUUUGGGAUAACUUCAGGAAACUGGGGCUAAUACCGGAUAGGAGCUCCUGCUGCAUGGUGGGGGUUGGAAAGUUUCGGCGGUUGGGGAUGGACUCGCGGCUUAUCAGCUUGUUGGUGGGGUAGUGGCUUACCAAGGCUUUGACGGGUAGCCGGCCUGAGAGGGUGACCGGCAAAAUGGGGACUGGGUUACGGCCAGGACCCUUCCGGGAGGAAGAGGUGGGGAUUAUUGAACAAUGGGCGGAAGCCUGAUGCAGAAACGCGGCGUGCGGGAUGACGGCCUUCGGGUUGUAAACCGCUUUCGCCUGUGACGAAGCGGGAGUGACGGUAAUGGGUAAAGAAGAACCGGCUAACUACGU